rnacentral:lncRNA from 1 species
CCCUACUCAUCCUACGCAAAGCCCACAUGACCUCCUCCGCCCUAAUGCGCCUGCAGUACCCAAGGUCUCUAUGUUGCUCUGAAUGCCCCAAUUCCCCUAGCUCUAUGUUACGAUCCCCCUCCUCGUUAAGUCAGUCUCGAAAGUACGCCUUCCACCUCUGCUUGACUUGAGACUCCCCCAUCAGAACUCUACCAUCCUCGUCCUUGAUGCAC